GAUGAACGCUGGCGGCGUGCCUAAUACAUGCAAGUCGAGCGAACAGGCGAGGAGUUUGUUCUUCUUACGGUAGCGGCGGGAGGGUGAGUAAAACGUGGGUAACAUAUCUAUAAGACUGGUAUAUAUUCGGGAAACAGGAUCUAAUAUCGGAUAAUUUCUUGACCUGCAUGGUUCUGUGGUUGAAAACGGUUUUGCUUCGACUGUGAGAUGGAUCGCCGCCUCUUUAGUUGGUUGGUGGGGGAACGGCUUCCCAGGGCAGCGCUGCGGAGCCGACCGGAGGGGGUGGUCGGCGACACUAGAACGGAGGCGCGGUCCAGACGCCUACGGGAGGCGGCAGUAGGGAAUAUUCCGCAAUGGGCGGAGGCCGGACGGAGCAGCGCCGCGGGGGGGGUGAUGGUCUUCGGAUCGUAAUACUCUGUUAUUGGGGAAGAAGAAAUGUGUAAGUAACUGUGCACGGCUUGACGGUACCUGAUCAGAAAGCCACGGCUAACUACGUG
rnacentral:rRNA from 1 species